rfam:Sorghum bicolor cultivar BTx623 chromosome 3, whole genome shotgun sequence.
AUUCCAUGAUGGGGACAUUCUAGGAUGUAGUCUUGAAAGCGCUCCCAUGCUUCUGGAACGGAUUCAUCAUGUUGCUGCUGAAAACAUGUAAUCUUCCCACGGAGAGC